rnacentral:rRNA from 1 species
GACGAACGCUGGCGGCGUGCCUAAUACAUGCAAGUCGAGCGGACUUGAUGGAGUGCUUGCACUCCUGAUGGUUAGCGGCGGACGGGUGAGUAACACGUAGGUAACCUGCCUGUAAGCCUGGGAUAACAUUCGGAAACGGAUGCUAAUACCGGAUACGCGAUUUGGUCGCAUGGCCGAAUCGGGAAAGACGGAGCAAUCUGUCGCUUACAGAUGGACCUGCGGCGCAUUAGCUAGUUGGUGAGGUAACGGCUCACCAAGGCGACGAUGCGUAGCCGACCUGAGAGGGUGAUCGGCCACACUGGGACUGAGACACGGCCCAGACUCCUACGGGAGGCAGCAGUAGGGAAUCUUCCGCAAUGGGCGAAAGCCUGACGGAGCAACGCCGCGUGAGUGAUGAAGGUUUUCGGAUCGUAAAGCUCUGUUGCCAGGGAAGAACGCUGUGGAGAGUAACUGCUCUGCAGGUGACGGUACCUGAGAAGAAAGCCCCGGCUAACUACGUGCCAGCCGCCGCCGUAAAAC